rnacentral:rRNA from 1 species
AUUGAACGCUGGCGGCAGGCCUAACACAUGCAAGUCGAGCGGAGCGGCGGACGGGUGAGUAAUAACUAGUAAUCUGCCUGGUAGUGAGGGAUAACGUACGGAAGGGGACGCUAAUGCCGCAUACUAUCAGAUGAGUCUAGGUCGCAUUAGCUAGUUGGUGAGGUAAUGGAUAACCAAGGCUACGAUCCGUAACGGGUCUGAGAGGAGGAUCCGUCACACUGGAACUGAGACACGGUCCAAACUCCUACGGGAGGCAGCAGUGGGGAAUAUUCGGCAAUGGGCGAAAGCCUGACCCAGCCACGCCGCGUGUGUGAAGAAGGUUUUCGGAUUGUAAAGCACUUUAAGUUGGGAGGCGUUACCGACAGAAUAAGCAACGGCUAACUCUGUGCCAGCCGCCGCGGUAAUAC